UACGUAGGGGGCAAGCGUUGUCCGGAAUUAUUGGGCGUAAAGAGCGUGUAGGCGGUCCGGUAAGUCCGCUGUGAAAGUCCAGGGCUCAACCCUGGAAUGCCGGUGGAUACUGCCGGGCUAGAGUCCGGAAGAGGCGAGUGGAAUUCCUGGUGUAGCGGUGAAAUGCGCAGAUAUCAGGAGGAACACCGAUGGCGAAGGCAGCUCGCUGGGACGGUACUGACGCUGAGGCGCGAAAGCGUGGGGAGCGAACAGG
rnacentral:rRNA from 1 species